UACGUAGGGUGCGAGCGUUGUCCGGAAUUAUUGGGCGUAAAGAGCUCGUAGGCGGUCUGUCGCGUCUGCUGUGAAAACUCAGGGCUUAACCCUGAGCUUGCAGUGGGUACGGGCAGACUAGAGUGCGGUAGGGGAGACUGGAAUUCCUGGUGUAGCGGUGAAAUGCGCAGAUAUCAGGAGGAACACCGGUGGCGAAGGCGGCAUCCUGGACCAAUAUUGACGCUGGAGGAAGCGAAAGCUAGGGGAGCAAACGGG
rnacentral:rRNA from 1 species